CAUUGGCCGCUGAUUACAUUACAUUGGUAACCCCUGGGCUAAAACAUACAGAGACGCUAACUACCUUUAGUCCUGUUGACUAUAGUGUCUCCCAGUGGUGGAAAAACCACUGAAUUAGUUGACUAUAGAGUCUCCCAACGGUGGAAAAACCACUGAAUUAGUUGACUAUAGAGUCUCCCAACGGUGGAAAAACCACUGAAUUAGUUGACUAUAGUGUCUCCCAACGGUGGAAAAACCACUGAAUUAGUUGACUAUAGUGUCUCCCAACGGUGGAAAAACCACUGAAUUAGUUGACUAUAGUGUCUCCCAACGGUGGAAAAACCACUGAAUUAGUUGACUAUAGUGUCUCCCAACGGUGGAAAAACCACUGAAUUAGUUGACUAUAGUGUCUCCCAACGGUGGAAAAACCACUGAAUUAGUUGACUAUAGUGUCUCCCAGUGGUGGAAAAACCACUGAAUUAGUUGACUAUAGAGUCUCCCAGUGGUGGAAAAACCACUGAAUUAGUUGACUAUAGUGUCUCCCAGAGGUGGAAAAACCACUGAAUUAGUUGACUAUAGUGUCUCCCAGUGGUGGAAAAACCACUGAAUUAGUUGACUAUAGAGUCUCCCAGUGGUGGAAAAACCACUGAAUUAGUUGACUAUAGAGUCUCCCAGUGGUGGAAAAACCACUGAAUUAGUUGACUAUAGUGUCUCCCAACGGUGGAAAAACCACUGAAUUAGUUGACUAUAGUGUCUCCCAACGGUGGAAAAACCACUGAAUUAGUUGACUAUAGAGUCUCCCAGAGGUGGAAAAACCACUGAAUUAGUUGACUAUAGUGUCUCCCAACGGUGGAAAAACCACUGAAUUAGUUGACUAUAGUGUCUCCUAGUGGUGGAAAAACCACUGAAUUAGUUGACUAUAGUGUCUCCCAGAGGUGGAAAAACCACUGAAUUAGUUGACUAUAGUGUCUCCCAACGGUGG